CGAACGAAGCAUAGGAGUGGAAUUUUUCGGAAGGAAACAACUAUGACUGAGUGGCGGACGGGUGAGUAACGCGUGGGUAACCUGCCUCAUAUAGGGGGAUAACAGUUAGAAAUGACUGCUAAUACCGCAUAAGCGCACAAAACCGCAUGGUUUGGUGUGAAAAACUGAGGUGGUAUGAGAUGGACCCGCGUCUGAUUAGCUAGUUGGAGAGGUAACGGCUCACCAAGGCAACGAUCAGUAGCCGACCUGAGAGGGUGACCGGCCACAUUGGGACUGAGACACGGCCCAAACUCCUACGGGAGGCAGCAGUGGGGAAUAUUGCACAAUGGGGGAAACUUUUAUGCAGCAACGCCGCGUGAGUGAAGAAGUAUUUCGGUAUGUAAAGCUCUAUCAGCAAGGAAGAAGAGAGACGGUACCUGACUAAGAAGCCCCGGCUAACUACGUGCCAGCCGCCGCGGUAAUACCUACGGGGCAAGCGUUAUCCGGCUUUACUGGGUGUAAAGGGAGCGUAGACGGCUUGAUUAGUUUGAAGUGAAAGGCCAAGGCUUAACCAUGGAACUGCUUUGGAAACUAUGCGGCUAGAGUGCUGGAGAGGUAAGCGGAAUUCCUAGUGUAGCGGUGAAAUG
rnacentral:rRNA from 1 species